rnacentral:rRNA from 1 species
AAGGUGAGGCCUAACGGCGUAGCCGAUGCACAGACGGUAGAGAUUCCGUCACCACCAAAAGAGUUAAGCACAGGGACACAUUUGAAGUCUCGGAGCCGGGUGUUGGUUCCGGUAGCGAUCGAGGGAAAUUAGUACCGAAGUCUGGGAUGGAAGAUGGCGAGAAAAGCUGUGUGUAUUUCUGCGGUGCCCGUACCGCAAACCGACACAGGUAGGUAGGAAGAAGAUUCUAAGGCCAACGGGAGAAGGGUUGUUAAGGAACUCGGCAAAUUG